rnacentral:lncRNA from 1 species
CUCCUCCGAAGGCACAGAUUCAUUAAAUCCAGCUGAGGGUGGAGCCGAUGAUGAGAGCAGGCAGCGCAUUCCCAGCGUCGCCCUGUAGUCCGUAACCUGCUCCAAGAUGCAAAGUGCAGGAGCGGAGCAGAGGGACCAGCGAAACGGGCUCAGUCUGCUCCUCUGGGGGAGACGUGGUGACACCCGUAGGCGAGGAAAAUCAACUCUCAUGCAGUUAAGUCUACUAGAAAUCACCCUGGAAAUCAGCAUCUCGUUCAGCGGCCUUUGGUACAAAGGCAACAAAACUGAAAGGCUGCCUGACUCCAGUCCCAUUUUGGCUGUUUUUUUGUCACAAGGAAGGGAGUGAAGCAAGUGCUCAUAAAGAGGCAGAAUCAGUGAAUCCUGUGCUGGGCUGGGGGAGUGUGCCCACUUGUGCUAUGUUCCUGAGGAAGCCCAGCCUGCCUCCCUCCCUCCCUCCUUGUGUGCUACUGCUCCUUGGGUGAAAGCAGCUGGGGGUUGUGUGAAAGCCUGGCCAGUGUCCAGCACUGCUCAGGUAAGCACAGGUAACUGCUGGGAUGGGUUUAUUCCCCAGUUCUGGAAAUAAUACUGUCAAGAGCAAGCUGCCUGGAGCCUGCCCUCUGGGUCUGUAGGCCCCUCAGGUGCAGGAAGGCAGCUGGGUGCUGAGGCCUCUGCAGGAUCAGGCAUAGAAGCUGGUCUCCAUGCACGCUUAUUAGGAAGAUGAUUAAUCUAUUUGUUUUGCAUUAUUGCUAUUAUUAUUAUUUCCUUUAAAUAUCUUUCCUUUAAAUAUCUUCUGAUCUCAAUGGGUGGGGAGUGCUAAGAGUGUUGUCUCUUUGGGGCAGAAUCUAUCUUUUGUGCUCUUGGC